UCAGACACUGAUUCACCCGGGGGGAAGCCGUGAUUUGAGGAUGACCCAUCCAUCAUUUCUGACGUAGGAAGAGGCUUGCGACGACCGGGGGAAACUGGAGCGGCUGUCAAGAUUAAAAGCAGAUAAUACAGAAGGUGAAGCAGAGGUCCUGUGCUUUCUGGUGACUACAAAUACUAAGCAAAAUGGCUUUUUCUUUCCAAUUGUGCUUUGGCACGGACGACAUAUGGUUGGAAGUGACUUUGCCGAGUUUUCAAGAAAUUAUUUUGCAAAGCGAUAACACACCAGAAGAUGGAAAGAUCUAUGUUAUGUACCACGGCACCACGGCUGAUGCAGCUGCUGCAAUUAUCAGGAAUGGAUUUUGCCAAUCAAAAGACGGCAUGUUAGGUAGAGGGGUCUAUGUUAGCAGAGAUAAAAACAAAGCAGCUAGGUAUCCUCUGGGUAAUAAAAGUGAUCAGGUUAUUUUAAAACUUCGAGUAAACGUAGGAAAGGUUAAGAAGAUUGAUUGCAAGAACCAUUCUAUGCAGAAGACUUGGCAUGAUAAGGGGUAUGAUACCGCCUGGGUACCUAAAUCCUGCGGUAUGGUUGGCAGUGGGCUAGAGGAAGAUUGUAUAUGGGAUCCCAAGAGAAUCAAGGUUGUAGGCAUUGAAAAGGCCCCAUGCGGGAAGAUGACAUAUCUGCAGCAAUUACUUUUUUAAUUUAGAAAAGGGAAAUACAUAGUGAUUCCAUGUGUCAUUAAAGUGGAAAUGAUACUAUUUUCUAUCACCCCAUUUUCUGAAUGUUUGCUCCUGACUUUAUUUUGAAAAAUGUUGUUUUGUUCAAUAAACAUUUAAGAAGCA